UACGUAGGGCGCAAGCGUUGUCCGGAAUUACUGGGCGUAAAGCGUGCGUAGGUGGUUGUUUAAGUCUGUUGUGAAAGCCCUGGGCUCAACCUGGGAAUUGCAGUGGAUACUGGGCGACUAGAGUGUGGUAGAGGGUAGUGGAAUUCCCGGUGUAGCAGUGAAAUGCGUAGAGAUCGGGAGGAACACCAGUGGCGAAGGCGGCCUUCUGGACCAGUACUGACGCUCAUGCACGAAAGCGUGGGGAGCAAACAGG
rnacentral:rRNA from 1 species